GACGAACGCUGGCGGCGUGCUUAACACAUGCAAGUCGAACGAAGAGCGAUGGAAGCUUGCUUCUAUCAAUCUUAGUGGCGAACGGGUGAGUAACGCGUAAUCAACCUGCCCUUCAGAGGGGGACAACAGUUGGAAACGACUGCUAAUACCGCAUACGAUCUAAACUCGGCAUCGAGGAUAGAUGAAAGGUGGCCUCUACAUGUAAGCUAUCACUGAAGGAGGGGAUUGCGUCUGAUUGGCUAGUUGGAGGGGUAACGGCCCACCAAGGCGAUGAUCAGUAGCCGGUCUGAGAGGGUGAACGACCACAUUGGGACUGGGACACGGCCCAGACUCCUACGGGAGGCAGCAGUGGGGAAUCUUUCGCAAUGGACGAAAGUCUGACGGAGCAACGCCGCGGGAGUGAUGACGGCCUUCGGGUUGUAAAGGUCUGUUUAUCGGGACGAAAGGCCUUCUUGCGAAUAGUGAGAAGGAUUGACGGUACCGGAAGAGAAAGCCACGGCUAACUACGUG
rnacentral:rRNA from 1 species